UGAAAAAUUUUGAUGUGUCUGUGGUUCGUUACCCUACCUUCCCAUUGAAAUGGUGUGUUGUGGUGGUUUUUAGGUCAAUAAUCCUGAUAACUAUUUAUUAUUUUAUUGAAAUGUACUGUUCAAAUGUGUUAAUGUUGUAUUAAUUAUAUUUUGUUUCUUUUUGUGAUGUGUUGUGCCUAUUAUGGAUGUAUUGUGCGUUGAAAAUAUUUACAUUUUGUGGGAGUAAUGACACUGAAGAAAAUCGCGAAAAUGUCAACAAAAUCUCAUAUUUCUACGGAAUUGAGUGACAGUAUAAGCAAUGUACUGGGGAAAAAUGUUAAAAUUCUUUACAAGUCCCUCAUACGCAUGGAAUCAAGAGGUGAUAAAGUGGACAACAAGGUCUUGGUGGUAACUGCAUACAGAAUAUUUAUAACUACAGCUAAAGUUCCAACAAGGGUUGACAAUGGAUUUCACUUGAUGGAAAUAGAAGCCCUGGAGAGUAAAAAGGCAAAUCACCUGUCAAUAACACUCAUCCAUGAACACAAGCCAGUAUCCAUACUCAUAGGUGAGGAAGGGACCGCCGAAGGAGUUAUGAACGUACUACAUGCAUUAGUCGCAGCCUUUGACGAUUUAUUCCCAAAUGUAGCCGUCAUUGACAUUAUUUCCAAGGUAAAUCUACCGUAUCCAAUGCCUCAAGUGAGCGGCACUCGGAAGCACUCGACAUGCGGUGAUUUCUCCAAUCAAUACGCAGCUAUGUGUGAUCUCUGCCAAACGCCCUUCAGAGCUGAAGUGGCGUGGGAUAUUGAUACGAUAUAUCUGGCACACGAUAUUCGAAUGUUACAUCUAAAGGAUUUUGAUCAUUUAGAUCAAAGGGACCUAAUCCCUCUGGUAAUGGCGCUACAACACAACACGUGGUUCAACGGCGUAUGCGGCGACGGCGUACGUGCAAGCGGCGAGGCGUGGGAGAGCGUGUGUCGCGUCGUGCGCUCCGCGUCGCCUGCCCCCGCGCGCCUGUCGUGGCGAGCCGCGGCGUUACGCCACGACCACGCAGCCCGUCUGGGACAUGCCUUAGCGAGAGCCCGCCACUCGCCCGCGAUGCAUACCAUCGACUUCUCGCAGAACCAUAUUGAGGACAAAGGUGCUAUUAGUAUACUGAGCGGUCUCGCGAACAAUAUGGACGGGAUGAGACAUAUUGCGUUGUCGCAAUGUGGCCUUACCGGCAAGACUGUGAUGCAUCUUGCGACCAUGCUCAAUGACAACCCCAGCCAUCUGUCUACACUCUCACAUCUUGACCUAUCCUAUAAUAACUUGAAGGAUGAUGUACACAAUCUAUACAACUUCCUAGCACAACCGAAUGUGUUAACGCAUUUAAACUUGACAAACACCGAAACUACGUUAGAAAACGUAAGUAAUAAAAUGUGGGGGGCCCUUCUCCGUGGUUGUGCCGCCCGGCUGGCCACUCUGUCAGUGGCGCGCAACCCGUGGUCGGCGGCCCGACGAGCGAGGGACCCGCCGCCUUCAUUCCGACAGUUCUUCACCGCUUGCCUAGCAUUGACUGAGCUGGAUUUCUCCUACUGCAAGAUGCCACCAGAUGCACUCAAGAGCUUACUGCUCGGUUUGGCGUGCAACGAGAGUGCGACGGGGGUGCGGUUGAAUCUGUCGGGAGUGCUUUCGUCGUCGCAGGCGGCUCAUGUGCUCGAGUCCUGUAUACACGGCGUUAGAUGCUUGCAGUCGCUCGAUUUGUCUGAUAACAGCAUGGAGUUCGAAUUAUCCGGUAUAGUGAGAGCGAUUGGCAAAAAUCACUCCAUAACACAUUUAUCUCUAAGUAAGCUCACGGGAAAGAGGUCGUAUGCACCGCCUUUAAUACAGGCUCUAGUCCAUGUCCUUCAAGAACCCGACACUGCAUUGACCUCUUUAGAUCUCAGCGAUUGUAAGCUAAAGGGUGAUCUAUACGGUCUACUGAACGCGUUAGGAGGUGCAAGACGCCUCCGCUCGCUGGACGUAGGCGGUAACCUCGCAGGCGACGCCGGCGCACGGCUGCUAGCGAAAGCGUUACAGUGCAACUGUACGCUGCAGACAUUGUAUAUAGACAGGAAUGCUUUCAGUUUGCAAGGAUUGACGGACAUAGCGACGGCACUCCGUCGGUCAGUCAGUGUUCGACGCGUGGAGUUCCCGGGUUGCGAUGCGGCGGCCGGAGGCAGAGGCGCAAGCGAACGAGUCGCUACUCUAUGGAGAGAUUUGCACGAACGGCUGGCCAGCAACUGCAGCCCUGCACAGACACACACGCUGCGGGCGAUGGCGCUGGAGCGAGCGUGGGCGGGAGGCGAGGCGGCCGCCGCGCUCGCCGCACACGCCGCCGCCGCGCUGCCGCCGCCGCCGCUGCCCGCCGCGCUCGAGCGAGCCGCCGCCGCCGCGCAUCAUCUGUUGCACCAGUACCUGCAGCGAUGCGGGGAGGUAUUUGCGGCGAUGGGCGGCAGUGGGCCGAGCGGGGAGCUGGUCACGUUGCAGGCAGUGCGAGACGCCAUGGCACCGUGCACCACUACCCUGCAGGACUUGCUCAAUCAAGCAGUGGAGAGUUUAGCCUUGCUGGCGUGCGAGAAUGUCGACCAUAUAGACAGCGAGCCGAUGCCUAGCGCCGACGGAGACAUACCCGAUCUGCUCACUCCUAUAUCACAUUCUGGGAAGUUGGAUUACUUGAAUUUGGCGACACCGCUGGGAUGUCGUCGUCGCGAGCGCGGAUGCCGGCGCGUGCGUCCCAAGUCAGUGGCCGAGCAACAAUGCAGCAGCAACGAGAUGCUCUCCCUGCCGCCCUUACACGCCGAGGCGGCCGACGCACUGGCCGAACUGCCCGCACACACUCUGCGACACCUCGUCAAAGGUCGACCUAGACGAGCUAAGACAAGGGCGCCGACGCGACCUAUUACAGACCAGUCGCAGGAUAUCGAUGAAGGUCUGGAGGAGUUCUGGCGCACGUGCCGCACGCCGCCGGGCAGCGAGGAGGCGUCGCUGUCCGCGCGCACGCCGCUCACGUCGCGCUCGCUGCACUCGCUCUCCUCGCUCGCCUCGCCCUCGCCGCUGCGCCACUCGCCCACGCUGCAGCGCGACGACACCAUGUACAGUGUGACUUCCGGGGAAAGCACGCCAGUGUUAUUAGAAUGCGAAGUAUCCCGCUGCAAAUCUUCGGACAAUGUAGGCAUCAAAACUUCGGCGUCCACACCGCCGCCAUCGCGAUCUUCAGAUAAUGUCAACACUAUGGAAGGCGUGGAGGCGUGCGUGGGAGGCAGCAUCGUGGGGAUCACGCCGGGCGCCGCAUUAACCAGUAACCAACUUUCAGACGCUAUUCUAUACUGAACGUUCAUGUGCCCUGUGCCGUCUCGCUGUAUAGGUUCAAUGUUACGAGAUCAUCCUUUAACUCCAGAGGGCACUGAAACCUAAGCCAAGCUCGGGUGCAGUCAGCGUGACGGAGACAGUUCGUGAUAAGUUGAGCAGGGUUCAAUGUCCAGAUGUUACACAAAAACGGAUUUUAUUCUCGGAUGCUCACAAUUGUGCCAGUUAGAAUGUUAACGUUUUAGACAGUAAAAUAGUUACUGAUUAGGAUUCUAAUAUUGUAUUUGAAUAAAACUGAUCGCCAUUUUAAUUGCUGUAUGGAACGAUUACUUUUAAAACUUUUAACAUUAAGGACAUAUGAAGAUGAUGGUCAUAAUAAUUCCAAGUAACUUAUGCUAGAAUUAAAAUUAAAAUAUUAUAAUCAUUUUCUAUUUACUGUGAUUCAGUUAGUAUUAUGUUACUGAUUCGUGUAGUCAUUAAUAUAUUUUAAUCGCUUAUAAUUUAUAGAUAUUCGUAACCUAUCCCACCAACGGAUAUAUUAUUUUGAGUGGGAUAUAUAUUAUUUGAUGUAAUGAAUUUUUAUUUCUUUAUACAAAAGUAUUUGUAAUAUCUCAUGAGAUUCAUAUUUAUUUAGUUUGAAACAGGUUUUUGCUUUGCCAAAGCUUGCCGCAAAUUCUUGACAGUCAAUAUUUCUUACAUAUUUAUGUUCAAAUUAAAAGAGCUACAGUGAUAGUAUUGGACUAUAUUUCAUAGUUUUCGGCAUUGCCGAAUCGAUAACGUAGUUUAAAAAGUAUUUGGCGUUCUCUUCAGCUACGUAAAGCUUUUCAUCACAGGUUCGUGGUUACCUACUUACGCACAAAUGUUCAGAUUUUGGUAGAUACGCGUUUAGCGUCUAGAGUAAAAUCACAUUUUACUGUAAAGUAUUAUUAUAUUCUAUGAUAAUACAACGAGAAAAAUGAUGUCAUUCUCGAUUGACAUAGUGCUUCGAUGACUAAAAUGAGACACCCGAGGAAUCAUUCGACAGUUACCCUUUGAUAUGACAUCUUUAUCUUUUUACAUGCCAUAAUGAUUCUAGUAUUACUGUGGGAUUGCUAGAAAAGAAUAAAGUAUUACAACGGUUACUGGUUCCGUUAUGGUGGCCCCGUUUUAGUUAUUACAUACUUGACACGUACUGGGUAUUUCCACACAUUUAGAUUAAAAGCUUGAGCCUCAAAUUCAGCAGGUCAAACUACCUACUUGGCAAGAAUGCAGUAACCAUAAAGGUCACCUUUUACAUAAUGUUAGAUUCAAAUCACAAUGUUCUACAAUAUGGGUUUCAAUUUGUUCAGGAUUGGUAAGGCGUUCGGAUCGGAAAGUUAUUGGUCUUAACUAGUCAUAUUUUAAAAGGCCUACAUAAUUAAUUACGCACAAUUGUUUUACGUCCGAAUUUAUUAUGAAUUGUGAGAAUACGUUUGUAAUAUAAUUUACCAUGACAGAUAUCUUCCAGUUUAUACAUUCCUUUGUAAAUUUUAAAGUAGACAUGUAUUUUGAAAUAUUUAACAAGUGUGAUUUUAAAAUGAAGUUCAAACGUGAAGUGAGUUUUUAGAUUAGUGCACUUGCAGAGAUGUAUGUAAGGUUCAAUUUUGCGAUAAUUUGAUGAAAGUAGAUGACUCGCCCCAUACAGUUAAGUGUUCAUUAGAGUAAAUAUUUGUAAAACGAUUACAUUCAUUUAUCUCUUGAAUUCAUAAAGGCUGUCUCGUACUGGAGUUUCCUGUAUGUAAAAUUACUGAUUGAGGUAGAUGUAUAUUGCUAAAUUAUUUCAUAGUAUUUUUAUAUUCAUUCCAAUUUAGUUGGUUUUAUCUAGCUCUUUGGUACCAGACUGAUUUUAAGGUACUUUUAUUUUAUGGUGCAAUUUAUGUCUAGAGCGUUGUGAUAAUCGUUUAAAAUUACAUACAUUAUACAA
rnacentral:misc_RNA from 1 species